GACGAACGCUGGCGGCGUGCUUAACACAUGCAAGUGGAGCGACGAACCAGGCUUCGGCCUGGGGCAGAGCCGCGAACGGGUGAGUAACACGUGGGUAACCUGCCCUGAUGAUCGGGACAACCCGGGGAAACCCGGGCUAAUACCGAAUGUGCCCGCGAGCCACAAGGCUUGCGAGGAAAGGAAGCUUCGGCCUCCGCAUCGGGAUGGGCCCGCGGCCCAUUAGCUUGUUGGUGGGGUAACGGCCUACCAAGGCAGCAAUGGGUAGCUGGUCUGAGAGGACGAUCAGCCACACUGGGACUGAGACACGGCCCAGACUCCUACGGGAGGCAGCAGUGGGGAAUCUUGCGCAAUGCGCGAAAGCGUGACGCAGCAACGCCGCGUGGGGAAGACGGCCUCGGUUGUAACCC
rnacentral:rRNA from 1 species